GUAUCAGUGGUUUAGUGGUAAAAUCUCCGCUUGCCAUGCGGGGGCCCCGGGUUCGAUUCCCGGCUGAUGCA